UCCGGCAUGGAGGCGCUGCGGGCGGCGGGGCGCGCCGUGCUGCGGAGCCCGCGCCUCGCCCGGCACGGCCUGGGGCUCCGCCGGCGGCGUAGGAUGGAGGACUAAAGCUUUGAUGGUGAAUUGUCCUCUCAUUCUGCUCCUCUUCCAAGAAUGUCACAGAGCCAGAAGAGUGCCCUGCUGAGUGCAGAGCUUCCCGAGAGCUGGGCUGAUAUGCAGGAGCCGCUGCUUGAGGGGAUGUGCUUCACACUCAAGUAUCUAGGCAUGACGCUGGUAGAAAAACCCAAAGGAGAAGACAUGGCUGCUGCUGCCAUCCGCAGGAUUGUGGCCAUGGCACGGGUGGGAGCUCGCAAGUUCCAGAAGGUGAUUCUGACAGUGUCUCCGAGGGGCAUUUCGCUGCAGGAUGCAGACACAAAGGAGAUGGUUGAGAACAUCUCCAUCUACAGGAUCUCCUACUGCACAACAGACAAGCUGCAGAACAAAGUCUUCGCCUAUGUUGCCCAGAGCCAGGACAGCGGUGCACUGGAGUGCCAUGCUUUCCUCUCACCCAAAAAGAAGAUUGCCCAGGCUGUGACUCUGACCGUGGCCCAGGCCUUCCAGAUGGCACUGGAUCUCUGGGAAGCAGCACAUGCAGGCUCUAGGCAGGAACGGCCCCUUCACCCUUCAUGUGUCUUGGAGAGCAGUGAGCCCGGCAGACCAAGACCCUGUCGGUAUCUGCGCAGCCUCCCUCGCACAUGGCGGCCUGAUGUGAAGAGAGGCACUGUGCUCUGUCUGGCUCACGAGGCAGGCGCAGUUUCUCAGGUGGUCUUUGCUCCAGCUCUCCUGUCAGGCCCAGCAUUGCUGCAGCCCUCAGCCCUGCUCUGCUGGCACUGUCAGACAGGGAGCUGGGACCUGCUCUGCACGCUUGGUGCCAUGAUUAGGGGUGAGACACUGUCUCUGAAGAAGAGGACCCUUUGGUCAUCAUCUUGCCAGCCUGGGCUAAGGCUCAGCCCUGCCCAUCUGCACUAUACCUACUGCAUGUCCAGAGCCAAUCAGAGCAUUGCCAGUGUUGCCGGUCUCACUGCCCAGGAGCCUCUGGAUGCUUGGUCCUUGGCCUCAUGCUUCCAGUGCUGGCCCAGCCUGGCAGUGCUUGGGGUCCUACUUGCUUACAACCUGCUCCUGGGUGGUCCUCUGCCUGGCCCUCCAGCUGCAAGGUGUGCUCACCCCUCUCCUGUCUCUGGGCAAAGGUGUGCUGUGUGCAGCAGCUGUCUCAGCUUGUUCCCCACUCACAGCCUGUGUUUGGUGCUUUGCUGGCUGGAGGGGAUGUAAGAAGUGCCAUGGUCUGUCUCUCCUCUUGUGUGGCUGUGUGCCUGGGCCCAGAGGAUUUCAGCAGCCCAGCACUGCAGGUGCCAUCUCUCCCCCUACUGUCUGUAGGCACCCUUUGUCUAUGCCAUGCCUGGUGGGUGACUGUGCCUUGUGAAGGGGCCAGGGACUGCCCUGCUGCUCCAGAACAGGCUCUGGGCAGCCCAGCCUCGCUCCUGGCAGAGACGUGCCCAGGCAGUGAGGUGUCAUGGUGGUUUUUUUUUGUUUUGUUUUGUUUGUUUGUUUGCCAGGAGGAGGAAGAGGAGGAGGAAGAUGAUAACAUCGGUGAAAACUUAUCUGGGCCUUGCUUGGGGUAUGAUGGGUGCUGUGUUCUCUUCCAAAGCAGCAUGGAGGAGGUGGGGAAGGGAGCCCACAGCCCAGCAGAGUCAGCAUUUCUUGUGCCCAGGGCAAGCUCUCCUACUGCACAGCUACUGUGCUACCACUUGGGGCAUGCCCCAGACAGCUGG